UCACUGCGAUGAAAAGGAAAAGAAAUUGUCGGAGCUGACUGUCAGAAUAUAACAGAAGGUUGGCGAGGACUGUAAACACGCUCAAGUGACUUACAGCUGGGGUGUCAAAAGCCACAUACAUCAUACUAAUUGUUGUUUAGUUUUGUGUGCUUGACAGAUAGAACAUCUGCGUUUCGAUAACACAGGCCUGGGAGAGACUCAGAGGCACCUACAGAACAUCCUUGGGGCUCCUGCCCUGCUGGGGGAAAGAUCAAAGCACAGUGGAAGAGUACAGCUGCGAGGAUCCCCGAUCUGCAGGUGAAAGCAGCACAUUCCAGAUGUUUUUCUCCUCCUCUUUCCGGCCAGCAAGGACCGAGCUCCGUGGUGCCGGUGUCCCUGCCCGUGUGCCUCUGCCCGGGUGCUGCUGCAGAGAUCCUCAGGGUUGUGAGCCAGGACACCUACGCAUAUGGAUGUCCUCCAUACUCUUCACAAUGUAUCUGCCAACCUCAGCUGGUUUUCGUUUCUUGUCCCGGAUCCACCUUUGCUGCUGGAGCUUGCGCUCUCUCACACGGGCAUAAAUAGGCUUCUGCUGCUGCCAGAACUCACUGCGUGUGUCCAGGGAGCUAGAGCUGGUGUUCCCAGCCCCUGAAGCUGCUGCCUUCUCUGCUGACAGGAGCCAAGAAGGGGCCCAUUAAUGGGAGCCAGCUGUGAUGAGCGAGCACCCGUCCUGGACAGAACGACUGUAUGGAGCAUUUGUACUGAAAUGGCACUUUGGAAAGUGUUGUGGGUUAGACUGCAAGAUGAAAAUUGAGAGGGCUUUUACAUGCCUGGAAACCAGACAGUCCACGUACAUUAUUAAUGCUACGAAUGCCAUAAAACCUGUGAUUAGACUAAAUCUUAAUUACUUCUCUAUUACGGGGUAAAGAGCUCCCUAGAAAAAUUACUAAAGGGGAAUCACCUUUCUGCCUAGUUCUAAACCAAAAUACUUCUCCAAAUCCUGCAUCUUGAUCUUAACAGCAUUUAUAACAAAACCACAAAUGAAUUACAGUCUUAGGAGUAAUGCUUUGCACUUAAUGCAAGUGUUGGUGGAAUUUAUCAUUACGACAGAAGUUAAGUAGUUUGUAAUGAUACUGUUUCUGCUUUUGAUUUCAUCAGCACAGAUUGCUUUGAGUUGAUUUAUUGCUUGUUAUAAAAGCCUGACAUUUAAUAGGGAAGGAAGUAUGCUCAUAGUUAGGAAUAUUGGAUCUGGCUCCAAAAAUACCCAUACUCGCCAGACACCUGCCUCUCUCACGAGCACCGCAAGCACUCUGUGCUAGGUGAGCUCUGAUACAAAUAAGGAAGAGUAGUCACAGGGAUAUGCAAGAAGAAGGCAUAACAGAAGAACCUGCUUA